rnacentral:pre_miRNA from 1 species
AUACAAAUCACCCGGGGAUCUUGUUAAAACGUGGAUUCGGGUUAGAGAUGGGGUGAGGCCUGAGAUUCUGCACUUCUAAUAAGCUCCCAGGUGAUAGCAAA